rnacentral:rRNA from 1 species
UACGGAGGAUCCAAGCGUUAUCCGGAUUUAUUGGGUUUAAAGGGUGCGUAGGCGGCCUGUUAAGUCAGGGGUGAAAUUUUUCGGCUCAACCGGAAGCUUGCCCUUGAUACUGAUGGGCUUGAUUACACUUGAGGUAGGCGGAAUGUGACAAGUAGCGGUGAAAUGCAUAGAUAUGUCACAGAACACCAAUUGCGAAGGCAGCUUACUAAGGUGUUAAUGACGCUGAGGCACGAAAGCGUGGGGAUCAAACAGG